UUUCGUUGCGCUGCUUGCGCAGUCCAGUGGUGACGAAGGUGAGAGGCGUCGGAAGAAGUCUGAACCCAGGUCCGGUUCGCGGCGCGGGCAAGUACUCGAGAUCCAAGACGCACCACAAGCACGGCCUCAGGGCCAUCAUGGCCAAUAACGGCGGCGUCUUCCCCCUCCACGAUCCCAAGCUGGCGGCUUCCGUUGUUCAUUUUGUUCAGUACGUCUCCUUCGCUAUUAAAAGCUUUUCCUCUGACUAACAAACUGGAGAAAAUGGAAGACAACUGGAGCUGAGUGUGGGAUAGUCUCUAAAAAUGGCCAUUCAAGAUCAGUGGCAUUCCCUCAAGACAUGUGAACCAAUCUUAUAAGGUUGCAACUUCCACCAAGGUCGACAUUUCUGGGGUCAAUUUAUAAAUGUUUGAUGACAAUUACUUGGCAAAAGGUGUAGAAAGAAGAAAAAUAAAGGAAAAGGAGUGAACUUUGAGGCAGAGAGGAAGCGAAGAUAAUGUAAAGCAAGAGAAACAGAGUUAAAAGAAAGAAAUUCAUAGGGUACUACUAAAGUAGUGUGCCAGCUUAAACAAAAGCAAAAGCAAAGCAGAAGGCAAGGCUUAAGGAUAUUUUGGACAAACUAUUUUCAGGAACUCAGAAGCAGAUUUGCUUAAUGGGUGAAAUUUGAGUCCUGUUAUAGAUAUUUAUAUCUGUUAAAUUGCUAUUUAUCUCAAAAACUUAGUUGAUGGAAGAGCUAGGUUUAAGUAUAUUUUUUCUGAUAUCAUGAAAAAUCAUCACUUGAUUUAAAAGU